UUGACAGUAUGGACUACAGGACAGGACUGCUGCUGUUAACUAUCUGCUGGGCAGGUGUUGAUGGUCAGAUUGAGUCUGAACCAGUCAUUAAAAGGCCUGGAGAAUCCCACAGACUGACCUGUACAGGCUCUGGAUUCACAUUCAGCAGCUACCCUAUGAUCUGGGUCAGACAGGCUCCUGGAAAAGGACUGGAGUGGAUCGCUUUUGUACACAAAUAUAGUUCUGAUUUCUAUUACUCCCAGUCAGUCCAGGGUCGAUUUACUAUUUCCAGAGAUGACUCCAGCAGUAAAGUCUAUCUACAGAUGAACAAUCUGAAGACUGAGGACACAGCAGUUUAUUACUGUGCUCGAGAGACACAGUGA